rnacentral:rRNA from 1 species
UUCCGGUUGAUCCUGCCGGAGGCCAUUGCUAUCGGAGUCCGAUUUAGCCAUGCUAGUCGAGCGAGGUUAGCCCUCGCGGCGAACAGCUCAGUAACACGUGGCCAAGCUACCCUGCAGAGGGGGACAGCGUCGGGAAACUGACGGGAAUCCCCCAUACCGGUCUCACGCUGGAAUGCCGAGACCGACAAACGCUCCGGCGCUGCAGGAUGCGGCUGCGGCCGAUUAGGUAGUCGGUGGGGUAACGGCCCACCGAGCCGAUAAUUGGUACGGGGUGUGAGAGCACGAGCCCGGAGACGGAAUCUGAGACAAGAUUCCGGGCCCUACGGGGCGCAGCAGGCGCGAAACCUUUACACUGCACGAACGUGCGAUAAGGGGACUCCGAGUGCGAGGGCAUACAGUCCUCGCUAUUGUGUACCGUAGGGUGGUACACGACCAAGAGCUGGGCAAGACCGGUGCCAGCCGCCGCGGUAAUACCGGCAGCUCGAGUGAUGGCCGAUUUUAUUGGGCCUAAAGCGUCCGUAGCUGGCCCUGCAAGUCCGUCGGGAAAUCCACUCGCCUUACGAGUGGGCGUCCGGCGGAAACUAAAGGGCUUGGGACCCGGAAGACUGGAGGGGUACGUCUGAGGUAGGAGUGAAAUCCUGUAAUCCUGGACGGGCCGCCGAUAGCGAAAGCACCUCAAGACGACGGAUCCGACAGUGAGGGACGAAAGUUAGGGUCUCGAACCGGAUUAGAUACCCGGGUAGUCNUAGCUGUAAACGAUGUUCGCUAGAUGUGGCACAGGCUACGUGCCUGUGCUGUGUCGUAGGGAAGCCGAGAAGCGAACCGCCUGGGAAGUACGUCCGCAAGGAUGAAACUUAAAGGAAUUGGCGGGGGAGCACUACAACCGGAGGAGCCUGCGGUUUAAUUGGACUCAACGCCGGACAUCUCACCAGCUCCGACUACAGUGAUGACGAUCAGGUUGAAGACCUAGUCACGAUGCUGUAGAGAGGAGGUGCAUGGCCGCCGUCAGCUCGUACCGUGAGGCGUCCUGUUAAGUCAGGCAACGAGCGAGACCCACGCACCUACUUGCCAGCAGCAGUUUCGACUGGCUGGGUACAGUAUGUGGACUGCCAGGGGCAACCUGGAGGAAGGAACGGGCAACGGUAGGUCAGUAUGCCCCGAAUGAGCUGGGCGACACGCGGGCUACGAAUGGUCGAGACGAUGGGUUGCCACCUCGAGAGAGGGCGCUAAUCUCCGAAACUCGGAUCGUAGUUCGGAUUGGAGGGCUGAAAACUCGCCCUCGUGAAAGCUGGAUUCGGUAGGAGUCGCCUUUCAGGAGAAGAGCGGCGAAAGACGUCCCUGCUCCUUGGACACACCGCCCGUCA